rnacentral:lncRNA from 1 species
CCCGCCCCCCGUCAGAUGUAACGCCGCUCCCCAUUGGGCAGGCUUCUCCCGCCUCCCCGCGGCGUCCCGCCCGAGUGGUGGAUUUUGUAAAGCGAGCGCUGAUUGGGUAGAACAGCCGGUUGGGAUUGUAAUACGGGUUAGGAUUGGUUAGUGGUGCCGCGGAUGGAGAAGGCGGGAAGGGGUGACACGCACUACCAUUGGUUGGAAGUGCUGUCUGUCACUUGGUAGGCGGAGCCAUCAAUCCAAAUAUCUCUCCUGACUGGUUAUUUUUGAGAUGUGGGCGCGGUCACCCCACGGCGGAGGCUGCGCGUGGGGCGCCCACGUUGCCUGGCAACAGGAGCCGCGCUCCUAUUGGCUGGCUUGAGGAAUAUGGGCGUGGUCUGAGACCACGCCCUCUGUUCUGCCCACGCCCCUCAGCUCCAAAUUCCCGGGGGCCCCCGAGACCCAAAAAAACCCAAAAAACCCCCUAAAAUAUCCCCUCCAAAACCCCCCUAAAUAUUCCCCAAAAAAGCCCAAAAUAUGCCCCCAAAACCCCCAAAAUAGCCCCCAAGAAAACCCAAAAUACCCCCCAAGAAAACCCAAAAUAUCCCUAAAAACCCCCAAAAUACCCCCCCCAAAAACCCAAAAACCCCCAAAACACCAGAUCCUCCCCAAAUCCCUCCCCAAAAACCCCCAAACCCCCAAAACCAUCCCCAAAACCACCAAAACUGCAAAACUCCAAAAAACCCCAAACCCCAAAAACUCCAAAAACCGCAAAAAGCCCAAGAACCCCAAACCCUCCCCAAAACCCGCAAAUCCCCACAAAAACCCCCAAACCACCAAAAACCCAAAACUCCAAAAUCCCAAAACCCUCAAAAACUUCCCAAAAAACCCGAAAACCCCAAAAGACCCCCAACCCCCCAAAAUCUUCAAAAAACCCAUAAAAACCAACCCCCAAAACCCCCAAAAAACUCCAAAACCCCCCAAAACGCCAAAAGCCGCAAAACCCCAAACCCCCAAAAACCCAAAACCCCCAAACCCCAAUACCCUUCAAAAAAACCCCAAAAAAUCCCAAAACCCCAAAAAACUCCAAAACCCCAAAAAAACCCAAAACG